CAGUCGCCACGGUAAUACGAAGGGUGCAAGCGUUACUCGGAAUUACUGGGCGUAAAGCGUGCGUAGGUGGUGGUUUAAGUCCGUUGUGAAAGCCCUGGGCUCAACCUGGGAAUUGCAGUGGAUACUGGGUCACUAGAGUGUGGUAGAGGAUAGUGGAAUUUCCGGUGUAGCAGUGAAAUGCGUAGAGAUCGGAAGGAACAUCUGUGGCGAAGGCGACUAUCUGGGCCAACACUGACACUGAGGCACGAAAGCGUGGGGAGCAAACAGGAUUAGAUACCCCUGUAUCCCUGUCUCUUAUACA
rnacentral:rRNA from 1 species